UAGAGCCUAUUUUAAGCUCCAAACCACUGUGGAACAUACCCUUGAAGCGUUGUUUCGGGGGGUCUUUCCGAAAGGCGAGGUCCCCCGACGGCGCCAAACUCUUCUAUUUUUUACAGCGGGAUUCAUUUCCCAUCUGAGUACUGUCUUGAAAAAAAAAAUAAGCAA
rnacentral:misc_RNA from 1 species